GACGAACCGUGCUAACGUUGUUCGGAAUCACUGGGCUUAAAGGGCGCGUAGGCGGUGCGCUUAGUCGGUGGUGAAAUCCUGCGGCUUAACCGUAGAAUUGCCGCCGAAACUGGCGUGCUCGAGUGAGGUAGGGGUGUGUGGAACUUCCGGUGGAGUGGUGAAAUAUGUUGAUAUCGGAAGGAACGCCUGUGGCGAAAGCGACACACUGGACCUUGUCUGACGCUGAGGCGCGAAAGCUAGGGGAGCGAACGGG
rnacentral:rRNA from 1 species